rnacentral:rRNA from 1 species
UACAGAGGGUGCAAGCGUUAAUCGGAAUUACUGGGCGUAGGUGGUUUGUUAAGUUGGAUGUGAAAUCCCCGGGCUCAACCUGGGAACUGCAUUCAAAACUGACUGACUAGAGUAUGGUAGAGGGUGGUGGAAUUUCCUGUGUAGCGGUGAAAUGCGUAGAUAUAGGAAGGAACACCAGUGGCGAAGGCGACCACCUGGACUGAUACUGACACUGAGGUGCGAAAGCGUGGGGAGCAAACAGG